rnacentral:ncRNA from 1 species
UAAAUUAUUAAUAAAUAACUCAUAUAUCCCUUGAAUAUGGCAAGGAGUUUCUACCGGAAACCGAGAAUUUCUGACUAUGAGUAAAAUGAACA